UACGGAGGGUGCGAGCGUUGUCCGGAAUCACUGGGCGUAAAGCGUGCGCAGGCGGCGCGUUUAAGACAGGUGUGAAAGCCCCGAGCUUAACUUGGGAAUUGCGCUUGUGACUGGCGUGCUGGAGUGUGGCAGAGGGAGGUGGAAUUCCACGUGUAGCAGUGAAAUGCGUAGAGAUGUGGAGGAACACCGAUGGCGAAGGCAGCCUCCUGGGCCAGCACUGACGCUCAUGCACGAAAGCGUGGGGAGCAAACAGG
rnacentral:rRNA from 1 species